UAAAAAAUUUUUUGAGAAUGG
rnacentral:piRNA from 1 species